CAGCCGCCGCGGGAAUACGGAGGGUGCAAGCGUUAUCCGGAUUUAUUGGGUUUAAAGGGUCCGUAGGCGGAUCUGUAAGUCAGUGGUGAAAUCUCACAGCUUAACUGUGAAACUGCCAUUGAUACUGCAGGUCUUGAGUAAAUUUGAAGUGGCUGGAAUAAGUAGUGUAGCGGUGAAAUGCAUAGAUAUUACUUAGAACACCAAUUGCGAAGGCAGGUCACUAAGAUUUAACUGACGCUGAUGGACGAAAGCGUGGGGAGCGAACAGGAUUAGAUACCCCCGUAGUCCCUGUCUCUUAUAA
rnacentral:rRNA from 1 species